UGUUCGAGCGUCAUUUCACCAAUCAAGCCUCGCUUGGUAUUGGGCGCCGCGGCCCGCCGCGCGCCCCAAUGUCUCCGGCUGAGCCGUCUGGUCUCUAAGCGUUGUGGCAACCCAAUCCGCUUCAGACCCGGGCGACCCGGCCGUUAAACACCCCACUACAGGUUGACCUCGGAUCAGGUAGGGAUACCCGCUGAACUUAA
rnacentral:misc_RNA from 1 species